CCUACGGGAGGCAGCAGUGAGGAAUAUUGGUCAAUGGCCGGAAGGCUGAACCAGCCAUGCCGCGUGAAGGAAGAAGGAUCUAUGGUUUGUAAACUUCUUUUAUAGGGGAAUAAAGGUAUCCACGUGUGGAUAUUUGCAUGUACCCUAUGAAUAAGCAUCGGCUAACUCCGUGCCAGCAGCCGCGGUAAUACGGAGGAUGCGAGCGGUAUCCGGAUUUAUUGGGUUUAAAGGGUGCGUAGGUUGUUUUUUAAGUCAGCGGUGAAAGUUUGUGGCUCAACCAUAAAAUUGCCGUUGAAACUGGAAGACUUGUGUGUGUUUGAGGUAGGCGGAAUGCGUGGUGUAGCGGUGAAAUGCAUAGAUAUCACGCAGAACUCCGAUUGCGAAGGCAGCUGACUAAGCCAUAACUGACACUGAAGCACGAAAGCGUGGGGAGCAAACAGGAUUAGAUACCCCAGUAGUC
rnacentral:rRNA from 1 species